GAUGAACGCUGGCGGCGUGCCUAAUACAUGCAAGUCGAGCGAAUGGAUUAAGAGCUUGCUCUUAUGAAGUUAGCGGCGGACGGGUGAGUAACACGUGGGUAACCUGCCCAUAAGACUGGGAUAACUCCGGGAAACCGGGGCUAAUACCGGAUAACAUCUUGAACCGCAUGGUUCGAAAUUGAAAGGCGGCUUCGGCUGUCACUUAUGGAUGGACCCGCGUCGCAUUAGCUAGUUGGUGAGGUAACGGCACACCAAGGCAACGAUGCGUAGCCGACCUGAGAGGGUGAUCGGCCGCACUGGGACUGAGACACGGCCCAGACUCAUACGGGAGGCAGCAGUAGGGAAUCUUCCGCAAUGGACGAAAGUCUGACGGAGCAACGCCGCGUGAGUGAUGAAGGAUUUCGGGUCGUAAAACUCUGUUGUUAGGGAAGAACAAGUGCUAGUUGAAUAAGCUGGCACCUUGACGGUACCUAACCAGAAAGCCACGGCUAACUACGUGCCAGCCGCCGCCGUAA
rnacentral:rRNA from 1 species